GGACGGGACGGGAUGGGAUGGGAUGGCAGCGGGGACCCCUCGCAGCAGCCGGCCCGUCCCGCUGAGGGGGCUCGUGCGAGCUCAGCGACCUUCCCGAGGGUCCCCCGCGGGCGGGUCCCCACGCAGGGCAGGGGCUCCCUGUGCUGCUCCCCGACGUGACUCGAGGGGCACAGGGCAGUGAACCCCGGAGUACAGCAAAUUCAGCCCCAGGCACUUGGCUUUUGCGUUUCUAAAGGUUUUCUAUGCGAUGAGCAGGUGCUCUAAUAAGCCAUAUAUUUAGCUCCUUUUUUUCCUUCCUAAACAUGUAUUCAUACUUGGAUAUCAGUAUAGGUAACUGUAGGUCUUUUGCAAUAACAGAGUGAUAAAAUGACACUUGAAUAGAAUCAUGAGAACCCGGGGAGUGUGACCUCUCAGACACCUCUGCCCAAGUCCAAGAUCACCUGUGUCUUUGUCAUUCCUUGACAGGAAACUGUUGAAACUCUUUUCUGGAUACUGAAUGAUGGUUACAGAUGAUUAUUCUGAAGGGUACUAUUUAGCACUUCCUGUUGAAACUCUGGUCUGUGACAGCUUAGCUGGCUGAAUUGCAGCAGACAAGCUACUGGAGACUGAACAGAAGGAAUGUGAGAAGGAACCAUUGAAGAUUUUGUACUAAAAGUAUGAGGUGGUCGUGAAUGACUGCUCUUGGGAAGUUCACUUUAUCCUCUGGCCAGAAAUGUUUCUUAACAUUUAGUUUUACUUUUUGAUUAGUCUGUGUUUGUACAGCCUCUUCAUGGAGGGACAGGCUGGAAAUUUGUACCAGUAUUUGCUUUUGCAUGCUCAAACACUACUGUGUUUCCUGAAAAAAAAAUUAUAGAAAACACCUAUAUCAUGCAGAAAACAGAAGUUACCAUAAAUAAAGCCUCUAACAGUAUGAAAAGGAAUACAGUAAGGUAAUUGUACAAUUCUUUAGUCUGUUCUGAUUUUGGUUGUGUGGAGAUUCCUAUAAGACAUGAAAAUCCUGCUUGUUUACUUACAUGACAAAAGAGGAAAGGCCUUUUUUGUAGCAGAACAUACUGUUUAAACAAACACCACAGUGAAACAAGACAGCUAAAGGUACUUUAAGUCUUUUUUCUUUUCAUUUACUGUGAAGUGCAUGCCUACAGUUAGUUUUUGUAUCAGCAGACUGUUCCCUCUUUCAGUUAAGUUUACAAAAAUUGCACACUCUGUGGAGCUACUUUAACUUUUAUUUGGAGGUGUUAUCAUCUUAGCAGUGGACUUACACACUGCUUCAGAAAUUCUGAAGGCUGCGUACUGAUUUAGAAAAUGUCUCAAAAACCACAGGCACUUCAUUUGGUGAUUUGGUCUCUGUGCUGACACUCAUUUAGACAUAGAGGACUGCACAGAAUCUCUGCAAGACACAGGGUGAUUGCAAUGGUGCAUUUUGUCUCUGGCUUACAAGCUGUACACCAGCACAGUGCAAGGGUUAAGGACAAGAUAAAAUCACUUGCUGCUGUUUUGAUUUCCUGAGGAGUUGUUGUUUUUACAUGAGAAAAGAGGAAUGCAGUGGGGACAAUUCCUGUGCCAAAAUUUCAAAGUAUGUUCUUGUCAACUGCGGUGCCAUUCAUAGGUUUUACAUCAGAAUCUUAAAUUUGGAUAUAAAGAUCUCUGUUGUAGAAGCCCCAUCUUGUGGACAACCAAUCAAUGACUACUUCAGCAUAACUGAAAUUUGAAAUACUUAGACAAUCUGAAGAUAUUUUGGUAGUUUUUUCUACAAACUGGAGAGUCUUCAUAUUUCUGAGCAAUAUGGAAACUUCAUUCAUGUGUAGAAAUCAGCAUGUGCUUUUCAAAAGACUAUUUCCACAGGAAGAAAUUCUGAGUUGCAGAGAGGUAUUAACACUGGAGUGGAAACAAGGAUGGUGCCCUCAGAACCCUGUUUUAAGUCCAAAUCAGCUAAAACACAAGCCUGAAUCCUGCCUUGAAUUUCCAAAAUAGUGUCUUGUAGCAUUUGGAUAGUACAAAUUAGUCCUUAAGUGGUAAAAUCAUAUGAGGGCAGAAGGACAUCCUUUGAAAAAGUUGUUAGGAGAGAAAGAAUAGCAAAGUGCAUGAAAACUGAAUCUGGAAACUUUGGAAAUACCCUGAAGGAGACUGUUUCAGCACAAAGUAAUGGAAGAGGUCAAGCAACUCCAGACUCAAUGAGUCAACACAUAGAAUGAGUGUUAGGAAGGUAAAAAGAGU